rnacentral:piRNA from 1 species
UUCUGGUCGUGCUGCCGGUGCUAAAGAC